CCCCUCUCAGGGUCGCACCUGGAGAGUUUCCCUUACUCUACCAGUCCCAACUAUGGGAGGGAAAGUAAAGCAGAGUCAUAUCCAUUCCAUUCCUAAUUUGGGCAGCGGCUAGCAAUUGGAAGGCAAUCUGCUACAGCU